rfam:Triticum aestivum genome assembly, contig: Triticum_aestivum_CS42_TGACv1_scaffold_177786_2DS
ACAGUACUCCUCCAUCCCAAAAUUCUUGUCUUUGUCUUAGAUUUGUCUAAAUACGGAUGUAUGAAGUCAUGUUUUAGUAUUAGAUACAUCUGUAUCUAGACUAAUCUAAGACCAAAAUUUUGAGACUUGAUACAUCCGUAUCUAGAUAAAUUUAAGACAAGAAUUUUGGGACGGAGCGAGUAGUAU